rnacentral:rRNA from 1 species
AUCUCUGUAGAGUCUGCAUAUCAAUAAGCGGAGGAAAAGAAACUAACAAGGAUUCCCUUAGUAACGGCGAGUGAAGCGGGAAGAGCUCAAAUUUGAAAUCUUCAAGGUUUUACCUUGACGAAUUGUAGUUUAAAGAAGUGUUUUCUGUUGGUGUUUUGGUAAAAGUUCUUUGGAAUAGGACAUCAUAGAGGGUGAGAAUCCCGUAUUUGACCAUUACUUCCAGCGUUGUGAUACACUUUCAAAGAGUCGGAUUGUUUGGGAAUGCAGUCCAAAAUGGGUGGUAAAUUUCAUCUAAAGCUAAAUAUUAGGCGAGAGACCGAUAGCGAACAAGUACCGUGAGGGAAAGAUGAAAAGAACUUUGAAAAGAGAGUUAAACAGUACGUGAAAUUGUCAAAAGGGAAGCGUUUGACACCAGUGUUGUUUUCUCGAAAAUCAAUUAAAAAUGGCUUGAUUUUGUGUUGUAUUGACCUUAAAAGCUUUCUUCACUUUUUUCAUGUCUUUUUUAAUGCACUUUUCGUUUAACAAGUCAACAUCAGUUUCUUUUGUUGUAAAAAGGUCAUUGGAAGGUGGCUUUCUUUUCGGAGAAAGUGUUUAUAGCCUUUGACUUCUGCAAUCGGAGAGACUGAGGUCUGCAGCGUAGAUCCUUCUGGAUUAGAUUCAUUUGUGCUAAGUUACAACCGUUUAUAGACAACUUGUUGACUAUAUUCGAUCCUGUAGCUUACUCGCUUAUGUAAUUUUACCUACGCUUAGGAUGUUGAUAUGCAUGACUGAUAU